rnacentral:rRNA from 1 species
CACGGGGGGAGCAAGCGUUGUUCGGAUUUACUGGGCGUAAAGGGCGCGUAGGCGGCCAGCACAAGUCAGUUGUGAAAUCUCCGAGCUUAACUCGGAAAGGUCAACUGAUACUGUGCGGCUAGAGUGCGGAAGGGGCAACUGGAAUUCUUGGUGUAGCGGUGAAAUGCGUAGAUAUCAAGAGGAACACCUGCGGCGAAGGCGGGUUGCUGGGCCGACACUGACGCUGAGGCGCGAAAGCCAGGGGAGCGAACGGG